CCUACGGGUGGCAGCAGUGGGGGAUAUUGCACAAUGGGGGGAACCCUGAUGCAGCGACGCCGCGUGGGUGAAGGAGCGCUUCUGCGCGUAAAGCCCUUUCUGCAGGGAAGAAGAUGACGGUAUCUAACGAAUAAUCACCGGCUAACUCCGUACCAGCAGCCGCGGUAAUACUGCGGGUGCAAGCGUUACUCGGAAUAAUUGGGCGUAAAGAGCGCGUAGGUGGGAUAGCAAGUCAGAUGUGAAAUCCUAGGGCUUAACCAUAGAACUGCAUUUGAAACUGUUAUUCUAGAGUAUGGGAGAGGUAGGUGGAAUGCUUGGUGGAGCGGUAAAAUCCGUAGAGAUCAAGAGGAAUACUCAUUGCGAAGGCGACCUGCUAGAACAUAACUGACGCUGAUGCGCGAAAGCGUGGGGAGCAAACAGGAUUAGAUACCCCUGUAGUC
rnacentral:rRNA from 1 species